rnacentral:lncRNA from 1 species
GAAGCCACCUCAAAGGCCCCACAAGGAGUAGCUGCUUGCUCACACACCUUAACUGGCCCGCCUGUAGCUACAGUGUUGGGAACUGAUUAGAGGCAAUCUAAUGUGUUGGACUCCAGAGUCACCUAUGUUCCUCCCCAUGCUGACUUCCCGUGGUGUUCGUCUUACAGAGGUUAUGCAUGUAUGUAUGGUACCUGGCACACAGUAGGGGGUCUAUAACAGGUAGGCCAGUCACUACCAUCAGUCACAGUGGACUAGCAACUGCUAUCCCUAAACUGAGAAGAAUGAGUUGUUAUGGGCGGUAUUGUUUAGGUCCUCCCAGUUCCAUCUCCCUCAGAGAGGAUCUGUCUUCUGAAGGCUGCCAGCUAGAGAAUAGCACUCACCUGGCUGCCUAAA